rnacentral:snRNA from 1 species
GCACUCCUUUCAGCAGCACUUAUACUAAAAUUGAACCAAUACAGAGAAGAUCAGCACGUCCCCUGCGCAAGGAUGACAUGCAAAUUCAUGAAGCUUUCCAUUAAAAA